rnacentral:lncRNA from 1 species
GUCAGAUUUCCUGGAACUAGACUUACAGGCGCUGUGUGCCACCUAAUAUGGUUGCCGAGAGCAGAACCGAGGUCAUCUGUGUGAUUAGCAAAUUUACUUAACCACUGAAACAUCUCUUCAGUCCAUUGUAGAAUUUGUAUUAAAUAUUCUUUUAUGUUUCCUAUUCACUUGAUUUCUUAAAAUUUCUGGAAAUCAUGAUGCUGCUUGAAGGUGAUAUUCCAGUCAGUGAAGAAUGUAAGUGUAAACCCUCUGAGGAAUUUCACUGAUCGAAGCACAGGUCCUGAAUUUUGUCUUUCAUCAGUGGACUGCACCCAACACCUUUGCAAAACUUGUUUAUUCUUCACCACUUACAGGACGGUGCAUGACCAAACCUGAGGUGAUCUUCAAGUUGGAGCAUGGAUUUGGGCCAUGGCCUGUGGUAGACUCCUCUGUCCGCAGCCUUCCAGGUAUUCAUAAAAUGCCUGCCCAGAAUGCAAAUGACCAGGAAAACCACAAAGGACAUUUGUGGCAAGUUGAAAUUGCCAACACCCAGACGCCGAAUGACAAAAGUGUUAAAGUAAGUAAAAUAUUUAACAUGAGCUCUUAUCGUAUUUCAGAUCUGAGCAUGUAUGUUGGAAAUUACUUAGCACUGUUUCAAGAACUUAACCCAGAGCAAGGAGAUGGCUCAGGGUGUGAUGGGACCCGUGCUCCUUCCGGUGGCUAAUGAAGAGAAGCCCUGAAGCUUGUUCUCUGAGCUUCGCGUGUGUGCCCUGUGUGAGUAUGGA